rnacentral:lncRNA from 1 species
CUGCAAAUAAAUUCGAAUUCAUGGAGUGUUGCACUUGAUUCGUAUGCGAAAAAGCUGCAAUUGUUUUUCGGAAAAGCUGGUAUUGCUAAUGCUAGUCUUGCUGUCGAAUGUAUAGAGACUGUAAGGCAUUUUUGUGCUCCAAGGGCAUAGCAAGAAAAUACAAAAGCAAUCCCAUAACAUAACAAAACUUCUAAAAACAGAAACUCUAGCAAGAAUCCAACAGAUGUUAUACUUGAAAAUUUUUUGAAAACCCAAAAGAUUGAAAAAAGAAGCUUGAACGGAACUCCCACCAUGUUAAUGCAACUGGAAUCGCUCCCCUCAUUCUUCCUCAACCACAGUGCCCUUCUCACUCACGUAGAUACCAUCAAGAAAUUUUCGGAUAUCCUUGUUCUUGACAUGACAUUUCUGUACAAAAGAGAGCACGUAAGAGCAUGAAAGCAAUCCAGUGACUUAGGAUGCAUCUUUCUCAUCCACAGGAACAAAAACUCUAUAUUGAGGAAAAAAGAAUACAACAAUGUGCUAAUGCUCAUGAGUACAUAUUCUAGUAUGAACAGAAAUGCUAGCACACACUAAAGAGAGAGAAAGCGACCUGGUUGAUCAAGGCUGCCGACCGUGAAACAAGCUCAAUAUCAUUGCCAUCUAGGACGAGCUCAUCCUUCACCUUUUCAGAUCGGAGAAUACUAACCCCGUCAAGCAUAUCAACCUUCCUAACCUGUAGAAAACGACUAUAACAACAUCAGAACAUGUCCAAAGCCAAUUACACGCCAAUCUACACCACAAAGUCUACAUUUUGUCACGGUAUUGCAAACACUGCAAUUCUACAAUAACUCCUAUCCAUGAAACAGAAACUUAAUCCCAGAAGCCAUAAUCAAAACAAUCUCCAUUUCAAAUAAUUAGAAUACAGCUAUCAGUAACAACCAAUUAUUCCAUACUACCAAUCUACAAUAACUCGAAUCCAUGAAACAGAAACUUAACCCCGUAUUCCAUAAUCAAAACAAUCUUCAUUCCAACCCAAUCCUUUGGGCCCUGGAAUCCGAGCUUAAUGUAUUAGAAGACUCAAAUGAAAUUUGAAAUAGCACAUUUAAUUCCCCCGUGUAAAAUGAAAUCAUCAGCAAAUCACCACAUUUAAUUCCAAACACUUAGCUAGUAAGAUACACUAGUAAAAACUGGCAUCCUUCAUUAUCAAUUCUGAAAACUCACUUCAAUUCUCUCAUAUAAAAAGAUCCUAAAACUAGGUUUCAUUUAACAUUACAAGGGUUUUACUAAGCCUCGCUGUAUUUCCAUUAAUAUUCUACUAAUUCACCAAUUACAGAUAUUUAUUUCAUGCUGCCGGAACCCAAAACUAAAACUUUCACCACCAUUAUUCACAUAUUAACUUUCUUGCAACUCUAAUAUUUCUAGCAACAAAGUCUUAAAAAAAAUGAAAAACCCUUGACCUCAUUUCUUAUAGCAUCACACCGGGAAUACCAGACGAGAAAUAAAAACCAAAACUUGGGAACAAAUUAUUACCUUCUUCUCGCCGAGAAAGUUCCGGAUCUCGAUAGCAGUGUUGCUGUUAGUGAUGGAAGCGUUGAUGGGAAAGUGAGCAUACACAAACCUCAUCUUGUAUCUGUACCCCUUGGUAACCCCAGUAAUCAAGUUCUCCACGUGGCUCAGGGCAGUCCUGAUAGCAGCACUGGUCUUUCUUGUUGCAAACCACGCAUCGAUCUUGAGCUUUCUCUUCCCUUCCUCGUCUUUGAUCAGCUGAAAAUCAAGAUUCAAAUGCUUGAAGUUCCUGCUCAGCUUGCCUCUUGGGCCUUCCACUUCUAUGAUUCUAGCACUGAUCUUGAUUUUCACCCCGUCGGGGAUGUCCAUGGUCUCGGACGACAGAAUUGUCUUCAUGGUUUGUGGCAGCCGUCUCUCUAGUCUGCUCUCUCUGUUUCAGAGUUGCCCCAAAACCCUACACAUAUUUUCUUAAAAAACCCUAGAAUUAUCAUGGCUGACUGGAGAUGACCAGGCCCUGUUUGGUGAUGGUUUAGAUUCAACCCAAGCCAAUCCAAGCCCAGCCCACAUUUGCUGCCUUUCAUUAUUGAUUUUAAAACUUUUUUUUUUUUAGUUUAAUUUUUUUUUAUCAUGUCGUCUGUGUUUUCUUUUUAGAAUUUUAAUACAUCGAUUUUUUUAACACAUUAAUCACGACUAAUUCAUGAAACUUUUUCAUAAGGAAAUUUAGAUAACGGCACUAAUUUAGUUUUGUUAUCCUUUUAUAAUUUUAUUUAUAUUAUUUGAGGUAUUGGUGAAGAUUAAAUAGAUGAAACCUAGAGAUAUUAUUGAGAAUUUAUUACAAUAUUUGUGAGAUAAAUGUCUUGGCUACAAAGGUUUUGGAGGAGUUAUUAUGUUGGGGCGUGAUAAAGUUUUCAGAAUAUUAUGGUUUUCUGAAAAUUUCCAAAUAUAAAAAUGAUGAGAAGUUUUUAUAUUUAUUCAAGACAAAUAAAAAGGGUACAAAGAAAAGAAAAUGUCAAGUUCCUUUAAGUUUAAAGAAAAUGCGGUUAGAUGUGGUUGGUUAGAUUUAGAUAUGAGUUUGUUAAAAAUUAUAAUUGAAAUUUAUGUAUAAUAAAAAACAUGUAUAAAAUGUUUGAUGAAGUGUGGUUGCGGUUGUUUUUCAAAGUGUUUUUUACUUUGAAAUGCUUCAAAAUAAUUAUUUUUACUUUUUAAAAAUUAUUUUUGAUAUCAGCGCAUCAAAAUGAUAUGAAAACACCAAAAAUAUAUCAAUUUUAAAAAAAAUAAAAUAAAAAUUAAUUUUUUUCAAAAGCGUUUUGAAACGCAAAAACAAACAGAAAUUUCACGAAACUCAGUUAAAAAAAGUAUGUAAAAACUGCGUUUCAAAGUUCAAACUCAAUCUUUUAGUGGGCCCCGUACUAUAAAACACAGUUUGGUUUGUUACCAAACACCUUACUGUGUUUGUUUCAACGCAAACGCAAAAGUUGGUGAAAAAUAAACACAGCUAUAGUUACAAACUCCAAUGAUAUUAGUUUUCUAUGUAGAGCUUGUUUGUUUUUUUAUUUCAAAUUUAAUUUUAAAAAAUAAUUAUUAUUAUAAUUCAAAACAUGCUUUUAAUCAUGUGGAAUUGGAGGAAGUGAAUCUAAAAAGAAUUGGUGAAUCAAAAUCUUAUAGCCCAAUCAUUUUAUUAUUGAUUUUGAUCUCACACUUUCUAUAGUAUAAAAUUAUAAAUUAAAAUAACCAUCUAGGUGGUGGUCCAGUGGUAAGAGUUUGGGACCAAGAGGUUUGCUCCCUUUGUGAUCUCAGGUUCGAGCCCAGUGGUUGCUCAUAUGAUGGCCACUGGAGGCUUACAUGGUUGUUAACUUUAGGGCCCGUGGGAUUAGUCGAGGUGCGCGCAAGCUGGCCCGGACACUCACGUUAAACUAAAAAAAAAACAUUAUAGAUCAAAACGUGUCGAUUUUGUUAAAUUUGUUUCUCUCUCUCAAGAGAAAAACAAUUUUUAUAAAGUAAUAUUCAAAGUAUUAAAAAUAUAUUCUCAUGCUUGACAUAUUAACUCAUUAUCAAAUCAUAGCUUAUCAAUUGUAAUCAAUGUUAGACUAUGUAGUAUAUUCCCUAACAUGACACUGAAGAACAAUUUUAACGCAGAAAAUUACAUGUGAAGUGGAGGAAAAUUAACUAAGAUUUGACACUAAAAAAGAAUUAUGCAUUUUAGGUCUAUAUGCAUAAAUCAGUUUAUUUUCAAUAAAAAGAAUUAUCAAAAUUGUCUUUUACGUAGAUUACAGUUUAUUUUGGUUUCUUGGAUUUAUGCAUAAAUCACAAAACAAAGUAAAUACAAUCCUUUAUCAGCCUGACAUGUGUGGAUGGUAAGGAGAAAAAAGAGAGAGAGUAAGAUUCACCGCUCAUUUAGUCAUAUAAGUGGGAUAAUAUGUAAUUUUAAAUUGUUUUGAUAUAUUAAUAUUAAAAAUAAUUUUAAAAAAAUAAUAUUAUUUUAAUACAUUUUAAAAUUUAAUCGUUAUUGUAAUCAUAAGCGCUAGCAAAGUUAACAUGACACUGCCUAAUUACUCGUUCUUUUAUAAAAAAACUAAAUGGUGUGUAGUUUUCAUUAUUCACCCUUACAAUAUUUAUGAAGACACAAAACACUGUGGAUUGAAGCAGUGUAAUAAAAUGAUUGUCCUUGCCAAAAACACUUGUUAGGGAUGCAGUUGGGUGCGGGGUUGUAUUUUCCAUGUGAUACAUUUGACAUUAAAAUUAUUAUUGUUGUUGUUUUUUAUUUUUAUUAUUGUUAUUAUUAUUAAAAUUAUUCAAGUAAACUUGGGUCAGAUAUGUUUGUCAGAUCCAGGCAACAUGGAUCAAAACAUUAUUUAUAAACAAAGUAUAAAUAAUUUGUAAACAACAAACUAUCAUAAAAAUUUAAUUUAACGUUUUAAAUCUAAAAAUUCAAAUAAUAUCUUUCCAUUGAAAUAGUUCAUUUUUUAUGUUUAUAAAUUUGUUAUCCCUUCAAUAAAAAUUUUAUCUUAUGAUUGUUACCGGUGUAGUUUUUUUUUUCAAAGGUAAUUUUUAUUUAAAAAUAUAUUAAAAUCAUAUUUUUUUAUUUUUAAAUUUAUUUUUAAUAUUAAUACAUUAAAAUUUUUUGAAAAUUAUAAUUUGAAGCAAAGACAAAAAAUAAUUUAUAAACUAUCAUAAUUAACAUAAUCAAGGAACUAACACAACUUGAUGUUGCAACGAAGUUGUGCUACUGGGUUGUCUGUUAUAGGACGUCAGACUCAACAAAUUUGGGUCUAGAAUGAACACCGGACCUAACACUCUUGGGUCUAGCAGCGCAGCCACAUCCAAGAUAGUUGGGUCUUGCUGGGUUGUCAAAUCAAAGAGCUGCGGUUACGGACUCGUAGACCUAAGAGUCUUGGGUUCUAAUACUGGACCCCAUAGCCUUGGGUCUUGACAUCAGAUCCAAAAGCCUUAGGUUGAUAUGCAAGGUCAUACCAAAGAGCCUUGGGCUGGCUACAACGCCGAACUCCACAGCCUAGCCUUGAAUUUGGCGUCUCGACCCAAGGCUCUUCGGUUUGACGUUUAAGAGAGACUCGAAGCUCACCCUGACAUUUCAGUCAGACCCACUUAAACUUGGGUCAACAAGUUUAAUAUUAUUAUUAAUAUUAAAAAUAUUAUUAUUUGUAUUAUAAUUAAUAUAAUAAUUAAUGAAAUUAAAAAAAAUAUUAAUAUUGAAAAACAACCAUAGAUAUUAUUUAAAGGGUAAAAUUAAAAAUUAUUAUUAUUAUCAUUAAUAAAUUUGAAAAAAAAUAUUAUUACUAUCGAAGAAAAACCAUAAAUUUGAUUUCAAAUGAUUAAAAACUAUAAGAACUCGGGUCAUGUGAGUUUUUUUAUUAUUAUUGUUGUUGUUGUAUUUGAAAAAAAAAUAUUAUCACUAUCAGAGAAAAAUCAUAAAGUUCAUUUAAAGGAAUUAAAAACUAUAAAAAGUUUGGUCAAACGAGUUUAAUAUUAUUAUUAAUAUUAUAAAUAUUAUUAAAUUUGAAAUAAGUAUUAUUACUAUUGAAAAAAACAUCGAUUUGAUUUAAAGAGUAAAAUCAAUUAUUAUUAUUAUUAUUAUUAUUAUUAUUAUUGUUGUUAUUGUUAUUGUUGUUAUCAUUAUUAACUUGGGUCUUUCGCGUCUUUCGCGUCUUCUUCCAAACCCCGGUAACUUUUGGUUGGAAAGGGGUGUCUGACCUAAGUUGCUCCUAUUAUUAUUGUUGCUAAAUUUGAAAAAAAAUAUUAUUACUAUCGAAGAAAAACUAUAAAUAUUUGAAGGGAUUAAAAAUUAUAAAAACUUGGGCCAUACAAAUUUAACAUUAUUAUUAAUAUUGCAAAUAUUGUUAAAUUUGAAAUAAGUAUUAUUACUAUCGAAAAAAAAAAUUUGAUUUGAAGGGUGAAAUCAAUUGUUAUUGUUAUUAUUGUUAUUACUAUUAUUAACUUGGGUCUGGCAUUCCUUUCCAGACUCCAGUAACUUUGUUAUUAUGAUUAUUUGUAUUAUAUUUAAUAUUAUUAACGUAAUAAUUAAUAAAUUUGAAAAAAGAAUUUGAGUCAGAUAAAUUUAAUAUUAUUACUAUCGAAAAAAACAUUGAUUUGAUUUGAAGGGUAAAAUCAUUUAUUGUUGUUGUUAUUAUUAAUUUGGGUCUGGCAUCCUCUUCCAGAUCCAAGUCACUUAGGUCUUACAGUCCCGCCUAACCGAAGGCUUUUGGGUCUAGUGUUCGACCCAAGGCUCUUGGGGUCGUCGUUAGGACCCAAGACUCUAGGAUCAGGCAUCCGGACUCAAGACUCUUCGAUUUGGCAUCCGGACUCAGGCCUCAUGGGUCCAGCGUUGCAGUCAGACUUAAGGCUUUUGAGUCUGGCGUUUAAGGGGGUCCUAAAGCUCUUGGGUCUGGUGUUGGAGCGAAACUCAAACGCUCUUGGUUCAACAGUUUAAUAUUAUUAUUAAUAUUAAAAAUAUUAUUAUUUUUUUUUAUAAUUAAUAAAUUUGAAAAAAAUAUUUUUUCAUAUUGAAAACAACCAUAUAAUGCUACUGCUUCAUGCUUCUCGUUAGGCUUUUGCGUUCAUUUUUUUUAAUUUAAUUUUCUUUUUUUAAUGUAUAUUAACUUAAUUAUUGGAAUGCUUUUAAUUGAAUAUGAGAGUUGUUAACGACAACAAUAUAUCAUCAUCAGUGUCGCCGUCGCAACCGCCGAUAAUCCGAACCUGGAGAACAACAUUUCUCACUCUAAUUUCUCACUCUAAUGCCGCGUUUAUUUGCUGAAAAGUAGUUUUCUUUUGGAAAGUGAAUUCCGGGAAAGUUAAUGUUUCAUUUUUCUCAAGUUUAUUAAAAUAAUGAGGAACAAAUCUUACAAAUUAAAAAGUUGAAUGAGAAUGAAAUUGAAAAAAAAAAUAUAAUUUCAUAAAUUAUCUUAAAUAAAAUAAAUAAUAAUUAAAAUAAUAGAGAUCAAAUCUAAAAAAUAAAAAAAUGAAAGAUGAAGAAAUUAAAAUAAUAAUAAUUAACAUUUCAUAAAUUAUUUUAAAUAAAAUAAGUAACAAUCAAAAGAAUGAGAAUCAAAUUUGAUAGAUAAAAAACUCAAUAAAAAAAUGAUAAGGGAAAAAUAAAUAACAAUUAUAAAAAUAGAACCAAAGUUAAUAUAAAAAUUAAAUUUUAAGAGAUGAAAUUGAAAAAUAGAUAUUCAAAACAAAAUAUAUAUAGCAAUCAAAAUAUAUAUAGCAAUCAAAAGUUUGAUAAUCAAAUUUGAUAUAAUCAGCAAAUAAUAUGACAUUUCUAAUUUUUUCACAACUUCUUAAAAGUGUUUUCCGCCCAAAUUUUUUAGGAAAAUACUUUCCUGGAAACCAAACUAAAUUUUUCUUUGACUGAAAAUUGUUUUCCGUUUACCAACUUUUCUAAUGACAAACAAACAUAGAAAAAUAAUUUUCCAGAAACCACUUUUCAAAAACAAACAUAACCUAAGAGAAAAAACCCUAACAACUGAUUUACUCCUUAAUUACCCUCGCAUUUACUCACUAAUCAUUUUGUUUUAUCAAAUUACCUUUGAUUUGAUAUUCUAACUGGAAUUGGCGGCAAAUUCAUCACAAGAUUUCACUUCAGUGUAACCUAACAUUUCACAUUUGGUAAAAAUAAUUUAAAUUUUUAAUUUUUGUUAGUGUUAGUGAGUUUUUUAACUGAAUUUGAAUUUUUAAAUUAGGUUUAUGAUGUACGCCAAAGGCAACGCGUUUCGCUGCAAUUAAAUUCAAAUUCUUGGAGUGUUGCACUUGAUUCGCAUGCGAAAAUGCUGCAAUUCUUUUUCGGAAAAGCUGCUCUCGAAUGUAUAGAGACUGUAAGACAUUUUUGUGCUCCAAGGGCAUAACAAGAAAAUACAAAAGCAAUCCCAUCACAUAACAAAACUUCUAAAAACAGAAACUCUAGCAAGUAUCCAACAGAUGUUAUACUUGAAUUUUUUUUGAAAACCCAAAUAUUGAAAAAAGAAGCUUGAACGGAACUCCCACCAUGUAGAUGCAACUGGAAUCGCUCCCCUCAUUCUUCCUCAACCACAGUGCCCUUCUCACUUACGUAGAUACCAUCAAGAAAUUUUCGGAUAUCCUUGUUCUUGACAUGACAUUUCU